AGCAAGGGCACUCUGUGUUACAAGAAAAUUUUAGUAUUGUAAAACAAUUUGUAACCUUGCAAGAAAAAAUAUCACUAAUUUUAAAUUUGUCUUCUGUUUUUUCAAGGAAUCAAAUUAAAUAUAGUGAAACAUUUU